AACGAAUGCCCUGCUGUCCAAUCACUUGCCACCAAAGAUUGUUGAAGUAGUGUGCUGCAAGCUGACUCCCUUACAGAUGACACUGUACAACCACUUCACACACUCCAAAAAUGUUAAGCGCUUGAUAUCUGAAGAAGCAAAGAGUACUAAAGUUUUGGCAUAUAUUACUGCUCUUAAGAAAUUAUGCAACCAUCGAAGGAUAUGUGGAGAGGCUUUUUGCACUGCAGUUCAAGACAUACUGUAGAUUACAUGGCUAAAGAAAAUUAUUUACGAUUAAUA